AAGCUAGCGUCCAUUAUAUAUGUAUAUACAUGUAUACUUAGUAAUUUAAUACUACUGUUAAGCAGUGAUACUUAAACAACGCUAACUGGAAGAAUAAUCCGGCUGGAAAUAUAAGCCCAUCUUAAUCGUCUCUUCAAACGAAUGGCUGUGUGCAUAAAGACUUCAUACAAUUUGUCUGUGUUAUGUAAGAUAAAACCGGGCAACAUUUAUCACUAAUUUACAUGCAAAUUCCUUUAAUGUUUAACAAUAAAAAAGAUCGCGUUGCAUUUCCAUUUUACGAUUACGUCAACGUGUGGAUAUCGUUCGUACCAUUUUCCAGUCCCGACCGCAGCGGGUCAGCCUCGUCCUUCCUUGAACAGCACAGCCGCAUACUUUCGUCUUUUACGUCUCUUUCCUGGGAACAUCGCGAAUGAAAAAUGAUGCCAGUCGCGCGCGUCGGACUUGGGCGGGCAUUACAUAAAGAAACGAGAUCAGUUCGCCGUGUGAAGGCGGCUACAGAAAGCUUUUUCCCAUAAAAAGUAUCAGAAAAGAGAGGGGAAGAGAGAGAGAGAGAAAGAGAGAGAGGAACUGCCCUCGGAAACGACUUCUCCACCGAGUAGCUGGAGCUAUCCCGGCGGUAUAUAAACAACGCAUGCAUAUAACGACGAUGUUGCAGGUGCUGGAAGUUAGCGGCCCAGCGGCAAAUAAUGCAAAAAGUAUGACGUAUUAGAAACAGGAUUAUCAGAGCGUAAUAAUUAUUGAGGAACCGAAAAAAGAAGUGUAAAACUGUGCGCAAUGUGAAGUAUUACGCGUACAACAUGGAAUGAUAAAACACGGAUUGGAUAAUCGUUUUGUAUGGAGUCUCGUCGAUCCGUUCUUGACUUUUUGAUUUACGGCAUUAAAUCAUUGCGUGUGUGCAACGAUUACCUGUACGAUUACAAUGUGAACCUGUAUGAGGAUGUUAUCGUAAAAAAAGUAUUUUUGUAAACACCGUGUGUAUAUUGAACACACGCAUAAUAAAUCUCUGUUUUACAGAGAUUUCUGUCAUCAGGAGAAAUUUCAAUGCUUUCCCGAAGGCUGCGUGCUGACCUCUCGCAAGCACGCGGUUAACUUCUAUGUAUGGCACGUGGCUAUUGAUUUCCCAACGGUACCGGAAACCGGAAAACCGCUGCGCUCAAAAGAGAGAAACCGAAAAGAAAAUCGUAACGCCGAACUAGAUAAAGUAAUCUUCCAAUUGUGCCAGAUAGCUGAAACAAUUGUGCAGUUUAUCCCAUUGCGUCACGAGAUACUGUUUUAACCAUGUCGAGCGGUGAAAUGCACAAAGGGAGUAAUUACCGGCACGUAUUCGGUUUUACGAUACCAUUCUAAUGUUGCAUUAAACGCACGCCGCUGUCUGCGAAAGUCUUCAGUGAAGUUUAUCCAUUCCCGCGAUUUACGCGAGACAGGCAUUGUUUUCGUGAAAACGAGGUUUACGAGAAACUAGACAAUGUUUUAAUAAAUUAAUGGAGCGUGUAUUGAUAUUCCGAUCAUUACCCGCGCGAGGUGACUCGAGAAAGUUACCGUGAACCAAAUAGUCCAAGUUAAUCUCGAGGACGUUGAGGAGAUUUACGUACUUUGCCUUUAGAAUGCACGGCACACGAAUGGAGCGACAGAAUGAGCCAUUAGUUCUACGACUCUUUUUCUUUUUAUAUCCUUUUAAUUUGCGAACGGAGGAUCUUCCACGUGAUAGUCGAGCUGUCACGCGAUUUCUCAUGGAUUCUAAGUAUCACAAUGGAAUAUUAGGAGAUGCGAAUAUUUGAA